UACGAAGGGGGCUAGCGUUGCUCGGAAUCACUGGGCGUAAAGCGCACGUAGGCGGACUCUUAAGUCGGUGGUGAAAUCCUGGAGCUCAACUCCAGAACUGCCUUCGAUACUGGGAGUCUCGAGUUCGGGAGAGGUGAGUGGAACUGCGAGUGUAGAGGUGAAAUUCGUAGAUAUUCGCAGGAACACCGGUGGCGAAGGCGGCUCACUGGGCCGGUACUGACGCUGAGGGACGAAAGCUAGGGGAGCGAAUGGG
rnacentral:rRNA from 1 species